GGAGAGGUGUCCGAGUUGGUCGAAGGGGCGCGACUGGAAAUCGCGUAGGGGACUUAUACUCCCCUCGAGGGUUCGAAUCCCUCCCUCUCCG
rnacentral:tRNA from 1 species